rnacentral:rRNA from 1 species
CCUACGGGUGGCAGCAGUAGGGAAUCUUUCACAAUGGGCGAAAGCCUGAUGGAGCAACGCCGCGUGCAGGAUGAAGGCCUUCGGGUUGUAAACUGCUUUUAUAAGCGAGAAAUAUGAUGGUAACUUAUGAAUAAGGAUCGUCUAACUACGUGCCAGCAGCCGCGGUCAUACGUAGGAUCCGAGCAUUAUCCGGAGUUACUGGGUGUAAAGAGUUGCGUAGGUGGCAUAAUAAGUAGCUAGGGAAAUCUGGUGGCUCAAACAUUCAGACUAUUAGCUAAACUGUUAAGCUCGAGACCGUUAGGGGUAACUGGAAUUGCUAGUGUAGGAGUGAAAUCCGUAGAUAUUAGAAGGAACACCAAUAGCGUAGGCAGGUUGCUGGGACGGUUCUGACACUAAGGCACGAAAGCGUAGGGAGCAAACGGGAUUAGAUACCCGAGUAGUC